rnacentral:lncRNA from 1 species
AGGCUGGAGUGCAAUGGUGCGAUUUUGGCUCACUGCAACCUUCACCUUCUGGGUUCAAGCAAUUCUCCUGCCUCAGCCUCCCGAGUAGCUGGGAUUACAGCUGGAUCUACCAUGAAAGACUUGUGAAUCCAGGAAGAGAGACUGACUGGGCAACAUGUUAUUCAGGUGGGAACAUCCAGUUGCAGGAAAACAAGCUUAACACGCCCACUGAUUCUACAUUAUGGGUCUCCCUCUGUUGUCCAAGGCUGGAGUGUAGUAGUGCUAUCGCAGCUGACUGCAGCCUCAACCUUCCAGGCUGAAGCGAUCCUCCCACCUCAACCUCCCACGUGGCUGAGACUACAGGUGCUUGCCACUAUGCCCAACUAACAUUUGGAAUUUUCGUAUACGUGGAUUCUAGAGGGGUGACAGCGAAACGUGAGUGGGACCAUCCAGUUGCAGGAAAACAAGCUUGACACGCCCACUAAUUCUACAUUAUGGUGAGUUCUAUAAUUAUUUUAUUAUAUAUUACAGUGU